CGAGUUGCUUCAUUGCUGUUGUUAAAUCAAUCAGCAGGUGGCUGGCCCUGUUAGCAGCAGAAUGUUACCGAAGUCUCUCAUCUCACCCUUCUUUUUUUACAGGCUUUUUUAAAUGUAGAUCAAAGC